rnacentral:rRNA from 1 species
UACGUAGGUGACAAGCGUUGUCCGGAAUUAUUGGGCGUAAAGCGCGCGCAGGCGGUUUCUUAAGUCUGAUGUGAAAGCCCACGGCUUAACCGUGGAAGGUCAUUGGAAACUGGGAGACUUGAGUGCAGAAGAGAAGAGCGGAAUUCCACGUGUAGCGGGUGAAAUGCGUAGAGAUGUGGAGGAACACCAGUGGCGAAGGCGGCUCUUGGUCUGUAACUGACGCUGGAGGCGCGAAAGCGUGGGGGAUCAA